rnacentral:rRNA from 1 species
CCUACGGGUGGCAGCAGUGAGGAAUAUUGGUCAAUGGACGAGAGUCUGAACCAGCCAAGUAGCGUGAAGGAUGACUGCCCUAUGGGUUGUACACUUCUUUUAUAUGGGAAUAAAAUGUUCCAAGUGUGGGAUUUGGUAAGUACAAUAAGAAUAAGGAUAGGCUAACUCCGUGCCAGCAGCCGCGGUAAUAAGGAGGAUCCGAGCGUUAUCCGGAUUGAUUGGGUUUAAAGGGAGCGUAGGUGGAUUGUUAAGUCAGUUGUGAAAGUUUGCGGCUCAACCGUAAAAUUGCAGUUGAAACUGGCAUUCUGUAGUACAGUAGAGGUGUGCGGAAUUCGUGGUGUAGCGGUGAAAUGCUUAGAUAUCACGAAGAACUCCGAUUGCGAAGGCAGUUCACUGGACUGCAACUGACACUGAGGCUCGAAAGUGUGGGUAUCAAACAGGAUUAGAUACCCCUGUAGUC